rnacentral:rRNA from 1 species
AUGGAGGACAUGGUGGAUGAGUACUUAUAUCUAGUUGGUCAGGAACAUGAUAUUGGGUCAUGUUUUUACCUGAAAAGGGGCUUCAGAAAAUCCAGAUCUCUGCUUUCUAUGAACCAGUUGGCUUUCAAGGUGAAGGAAAUAGAGAAAGACCUUAGUCACCUAUCAGAGACAAACAAACGUUGGGUUCCCAUGACAAUCAGUGGGGUCAGCGGGGCCACCAGCAGCUGUGAUUACAUUGUCAAGAGGGGCCAAGAUCUAGCAAACAUUUCACGUUCCCUUGAUGAAGAAGAUCUUGUGGGGGUGGCUGAAAACAGAGAAAAACUUGGGCAGUGGUUGGCAGAUGAUGAUUUGGAAUGCUCGGUCAUAGCACUUCUUGGAAUGGGAGGACUUGGUAAAACAACUUUAGCUGCAAAUGUCUACAGGAAUGAGAGAAAGAAAUUCCAAUGCCAUGCCUGGGUCUCCAUCUCUCAAUCUUAUUCUAGAGAAGAUGUCUUGAGGAAUAUAUGUAAGGAACUUUUCAAAGAUGAUGUCAGUGUUCUAUCUAAAUCUGCAGCUAUGGAUAUCACAUGCCUUGAAGAGACACUGAAGAGUUUUCUGGAGCAACGAAAGUACUUGAUCAUAUUGGACGAUGUUUGGACUCCAGAAACAUUUGAUGAUUUGUCUAGGAUGCUUAUUCAUAAUGAUAAGGGAAGUAGACUGAUAAUCACAACAAGGGAAGGCGAUGUUGCUGCACUUGCCUCUCCAGGACAUAUCUUAACACUAGAAGCUUUACGAGAAGAUAAGUCAUGGGAUCUCUUUUGCAAAAAAACAUUUGCAAAAGAAACAAAUCAUGAUUGUCAUGCGGAGUUAAAGCCUUUGUCCAGGGAAAUAGUUAGCAGGUGUAAAGGCUUGCCUCUUGCUAUUGUGUCAGUUGCUAGCCUCUUGCGUGUGCGUGAGAAAACUGUGGAAGAAUUAAAUAACCAACUGAUCUGGGAGAUAAUGAAUAAUUCGAGGCUCGACCACAUAAGGAAUGUUUUGCAUCUGAGCUUCAUCUACCUUCCAACACACUUGAAAAGUUGUUUUUUAUACUGCAGCUUAUUUCCAGAAGACUAUCUUCUCAAAAGGAAACAACUUGUAAGGUUAUGGAUAGCAGAGGGGUUCAUCGAGGGGAGGGGUGAAAGCACAUUAGAAGAAGUAGCAGAAGGCUAUCUGAAGGAGUUGGUUGAUAGAAACAUGCUACAACUUGUCAAGAUGAACUCAUUUGGUAGGAUAAAAGAAUUCAAAAUGCACGAUAUAUUACGUGAAUUGGCAGUUGAUUUGUGCCAGAAGAACUAUUUUGGUGUUUCACAAGAGGCUAAAUGUGAGGGGUCUCUUGAGAUGGAUGGACGCCGAUUGAUGCUUGACAAAAUAAACAAUGAUGUUCAACAGUCAUUUUCUGGUUUACACCAACUUCGAAGUGUAAUUACAUCAGGCGAUAGUAAGUCACCAUUCACUCUACUACCCCUGCUAUGCAAGGAGUCAAGAUAUAUGACAGUGCUAGAAUUAAGUGGUAUACCCAUCAAGAAGAUUCCAGAUGCUAUUGGAUAUCUCUUUAAUCUCCGCCAUUUGGGUUUGCGUAAUUCAAAGGUGAAAAUGCUCCCGAGGUCUGUUGAGAAGCUUUCAAAUUUGUUGACACUAGACCUUUGUAAAUCUGACAUACAUGAGUUGCCUAGUGGGAUUGUGAAACUUAAGAAGCUCAGGCACUUAUUUGUUGAGAAAAUAAUGGAUCCAGAUUGGAGAAAUAUCAAUCAUCUCGGUGGUAUGUGUAUCCCCAAUGGACUCAGAAAUCUAACAAACCUGCAAACGCUACAAGCAUUAGAAGUACAGGAUGAGUCCCUUAGACAUCUAGGGGAGCUGAGGCAACUGAAAAGCUUGAGGUUAUUGAAUGUGAAGGGAAUCUACUGCGAAUGCAUCAGUGAAUCUCUAGUUCAAAUGCGGCAUUUGUCCUUGCUAUCUGUGAAUGCAAGUGACGGGAACGAGGUUCUCUUGUUGAAUGUUCUCCUGCCAAGCCUGCAAAAGCUAAGAUUGAGAGGACGGCUACUGGAAGGUGCGUUGGAUGAGUCUCCUCUCUUCCAAGCUGUCGGAGGGCAGAAUUUGUAUGAAUUAGUUCUAUCUUGGUCACAGCUGACAAAAGACCCCUUGCCGUCCCUUUCUCGGUUGUCAAGCUUGACACGUCUACAUUUCACUAGAGCAUACACCGGAGAGCAUCUGUCAUUUCUCACGGAGUGGUUUCCCAAGCUAAAGGUUCUCUCUCUGACAGACCUGCCUAAUUUGAAGCGUCUAGAGAUACAGCAAGGUGCCAUGGGGUCCCUGGAACAUUUAUUCCUAAUCAGACUCAGCAGCAUGACCGAGGUCCCACCUGGCAUUGAGUUCGUCAUGCCCCUCGAGUAUCUAGGCUUCCACGAAAUCACCGGCGACUUCUUGUCUCUGCUGCGCCAUUGUUCUGCGAUUCGAGGGACGAGGUUGAGGUACUCUCUGCGAGAUUGA